GAUGAACGCUGGCGGCGUGCCUAAUACAUGCAAGUCGAGCGAACGGACGAGAAGCUUGCUUCUCUGAUGUUAGCGGCGGACGGGUGAGUAACACGUGGAUAACCUACCUAUAAGACUGGGAUAACUUCGGGAAACCGGAGCUAAUCCCGGAUGAUAUUCUGAACCGCAUGGUUCAAAAGUGAAAGACGGUCUUGGUGUCACUUAUAGAUGGAUCCGCGCUGCAUUAGCUAGUUGUUAAGGUAACGGCUUACCAAGGCAACGAUGCAUAGCCGACCUGAGAGGGUGAUAGGCCACACUGGAAGUGAGACACGGUCCAGACUCCUACGGGAGGCAGCAGUCGGGAAUCUUCCGCAAUGGGCGAAAGCCUGACGGAGCAACGCCGCGUGAGUGAUGAAGGUCUUCGGAUCGUAAAACUCUGUUAUUAGGGAAGAACAUAUGUGUAAGUAACUGUGCACAUCUUGACGGUACCUAAUCAGAAAGCCACGGCUAACUACGUG
rnacentral:rRNA from 1 species